rnacentral:lncRNA from 1 species
CUCCGCUACCACGUGGAGCUCGGGUACCUUAGCAUCUUUCGCGAGGAAGGGGCGGGUUCUGGCCGCGGGAGGCGGGCCGGUUAAAAGGAGUUUAAGCGAGAAAAGUGGCACGAUGCUCUUGUCGAUCCUCCGGGAGAAAGAGGUCCACAGCCAGCCAGCAGAGAAAGUCACUUCUGGUGCCUCCGAGUCCUCACCUGGAAACUGCAGAUGCUAAUGCUACCAGCCUUCCAGACUUGUCAUGAGGAUUAAAUUAGAUAAUGUGGGCCGAGUGCUUAGCAUGGAGCCUGGCGUGGGAUUAAGCUGCUAAUUGUUAAGAUACUAAAUUGCAUAGCCUGUUAGGAUUCUCCAGAACACUGACAGGCCUCAUUCAAGGCCAGGACUGAGGAACUGGCACCAUGCAUUGUACGGGCUCUCUGUUCUCAUGAUAAUGACACAGCUUGUUCUAUGAAGGAUGAGGAUUCUGAUUUAAUCCCUAGAAACAACCGCCAGAUGAAACCGUGAGUCCUUUUGUAAUGGACUCCCUGUACUCGAUUAAAAAUCAGGAGAGGGCAAUGAAAAGCUCUCUCUAAGGGGGAGCAAAAUUAAUCUCCAUUUUGCUACAAUUUGAAUACAUUUUUUUUAGAACUUCAAAUCUUGUAUGCUUUUCAAAAGAAGACAAGAAAAAGGAUUGCAGAAAUUGCAGAUUGGGCCAGCACAGCGUUCACAGGGUGAGCAAGCUGAAUGAACCUCAUUUCGUUGGAAGCCUGAGUUCCUCCCAGUCAGCGGCCAGCAUCCUGCCUGACUUAGGGAGAUGGCGCCCGCCCCACAGCCCUGAGCAGCUGGCAGGAUCCGGGCUCUGCUCGCCAGCUCAGGCACAGGGAGCACUUGGUUACCACCGAUACAGCAGCCGUCUAAAAUGCCCUAUGUUUCAAACUUGUUUUCAAAUUUGACCCACUAAGAUAGUAGUUCCUUUGGGAAUCUGAAGUCAUAAAACCUGCUUGCCACUCAAAUCGCUUUACUCUUUACUCUUUACACUUAAAUCACUCAAAUCUCUGAGCCCUGGCUUCCUUGCCUGUAAAAUGAGGAGACAAUACGUCAACAAUUGCUAGAAAAAUCAAAUUAAAUAAUACAUGUGAAACGAUUUUAAAAAUGUGACAUGUGUAUACAAAUUUAAAUUGAUAUAUGUUUUGGCGAGACACAGUGAACUGUCAAAUAUUUGUGAGAAUUUAAAAAGAUAAUGUAUAUGAAAAUUGCGAGCUCAUCGCUUGGGACACACGGACUCCAUAAGUACGUGAGCUAA